rnacentral:rRNA from 1 species
CUCCUUUGACGUUAGCGGCGGACGGGUGAGUAACACGUGGGUAACCUACCUAUAAGACUGGGAUAACUUCGGGAAACCGGAGCUAAUACCGGAUAAUAUUUCGAACCGCAUGGUUCGAUAGUGAAAGGUGGUUUUGCUAUCACUUAUAGAUGGACCCGCGCCGUAUUAGCUAGUUGGUAAGGUAACGGCUUACCAAGGCGACGAUACGUAGCCGACCUGAGAGGGUGAUCGGCCACACUGGAACUGAGACACGGUCCAGACUCCUACGGGAGGCAGCACC